AUUUUUAACAUGGAUCUGAACAGCAACUUCAGUCCAAACAUGCAGAAUCUGUUGGGAGGUUUCAGCUUUCAUGUUUUUUGAGAGUCAAUCCUGCCAAAUCUCAAUCAGAAAAUCUACUUGGAUUUUCACCAUUCAUUGACAGGGACUGGACUUCAUGGAAGUAACAUUUUUUGGACCUAACAAGUGAAAUCCAGAAAAAUGAUCACCCCAAAUAUCAUAUCUAUACUCAUCUGCAAGCCCUUCUUCCUCUUGCGCUUGAACAGCUUUUUGGUUGUGACGUUUGGAUCCAGGAGCCCGAGACUGCAAUGUAACAGCAGAAUUUGACACCAAGGAGGAGGGAGGCGACC